rnacentral:rRNA from 1 species
AGUAGGGAAUAUUAGUAAUGGGCGAAAGCCUGAACUAGCGACACCGCGUGUGCGAAGAAGGCCUUCGGGUUGUAAAGCACUUUUAGAGAGGAUGAGGAAGGACGGUACUCUCUGAAUAAGUCUCGGCUAACUACGUGCCAGCAGCCGCGGUAACACGUAGGAGGCAAACGUUAUCCGGAUUUACUGGGCGUAAAGCGCGUGUAGGUGGUUCUGUAAGUAGGGCGUGAAAGCUCCCGGCUCAACUGGGAGAGGCCGUUCUAAACUGCAGAGCUAGAGGAUGGUAGAGGGAGGUGGAAUUCCGGGUGUAGCGGUGGAAUGCGCAGAUAUCCGGAGGAACACCAGUGGCGAAGGCGACCUCCUGGGCCACUCCUGACACUCAGACGCGAAAGCUAGGGUAGCAAACGGGAUUAGAGACCCCGGUAGUCCUAGCCCUAAACGAUGUUUACUUGACGUCGGCGGCUUAAUCGCCAUCGGUGUCGUAGCUAACGCGAUAAGUAAACCGCCUGGGGACUACGGCCGCAAGGUUAAAACUCAAAGGAAUUGACGGGUCCCCGCACAAGCAGCGGAGCGUGUGGUUUAAUUCGUUGCUACACGAAGAACCUUACCUGGGUUUGACAUAGCAGUGGUAGGGAAACGAAAGUGGACCGACCCUUCGGGGAGCUGUUACAGGUGUUGCAUGGCUGUCGUCAGCUCGUGUCGUGAGAUGUUCGGUUAAGUCCGCUAACGAGCGCAACCCGCGUGAUGUGUUACAAGUGUCACAUCAUACUGCCGGUAUUAAGUCGGAGGAAGGUGCGGAUGACGUCAAGUCAGCAUGACCUUUAUAUCCAGGGCUACACACACGCUACAAUGGUCUGUACAAUAGGUUGCCAAGCCGCGAGGCGGAGCCAAUCCUACAAAGCAGGCCUCAGUUCAGAUUGCAGUCUGCAACUCGACUGCAUGAAGUCGGAGUUGCUAGUAACCGCAGGUCAGCUAUACUGCGGUGAAUACGUUCCCGGGGAUUGUACACACCGCCCGUCAAGUCAUGGGAGCUGGCAACACCUGAAGCCGGUAUCCUAACCCGCAAGGGAGGGAGCUGUCAAAGGUGGGGUCGGUGACUGGGACU